UUCCACUCUCUCAUCUCUCUCACUCGAUCUCUCUUCCCAAACCAAAAGCCUUUCGGUCUCUCAUCUCUCUCACUCCAGCCGACUAUCCUCCUCAACCAAUUCCACCCGAGUACCAGAAUCACUCUCAGACUCUCAGUCCCUCGACUCCCUUCCCUCGACUCUCCAACUCUGAAUCGUCCUCCUCCUCGUAGUGCUCACCAGCCAUCACCCCAUCACCCCCGCCGUCGAUUCUCUCCUCUUCGACAACACCCCCGCUGUCAUCCAUCUAAAAUUUAGAUAUCCCCAACAUUAGCUCCAGUUGAUGCGUUGGAGAGGUAUACUCAGAUAUCUAGUCAUUCUCUUCAUAGAACAAGCAAACCAGGAAUUUUAUCGAUUGAUAUUCAGUCUAACAAGAAUCUCAUUGCAACUGGAGGGGUUGAUACAAAUGCUACAGUUCGCAUAUGGCAAGGCUCUGAUGAUGGGAACUAUAACUGUAGGCACAUUGUGAAGGACCAUACUGCUGAGAUUGUCCACAGGAGAGGUCAAUUCCUUGAAGGAGGAAGUGACAACCCUAAGAGGUCAGGUUGCGGCCCAGGGCGACCAUAUUAGGGCCCAGGACGAGAGGAUGAAUAUGAUUGUUCAGGCCUUAGCGAUGUCCGGCCUCCAAAUCCCGACGAUGCCAGCACCUAAUGUUGCUCCACCUUCGACUUCCCAGCCAUUUUGCCCCGACGAUACCGAGUAGCAUGAUGUAUUAAACUUAGAAGACUUGUAGUUUUUUAUUUUUUUGUUCGGACAAACAUACAUUUUCAUAUAUUCUAUAAUUAUUUACUUUUUCUUGGUUUA